rnacentral:misc_RNA from 1 species
ACGUACGUGCGCACACGGUGCCACAUACGUUCACGGAGAGGCACGCACACAACGGCGAGGGCCGAGUGGCCGCAAGUACAAAGGGGCCACGGCAAUAUAGUUUUAAAACGGAAUCGAACGAACGAGCGAGCCGGCCAGCGCAGGAAGGGCAGAGAGGCAGCAAAAGCGAGUCCCGACGAGUAACAGUGGGCGACCCUGCUGCCGGCUGCCGACAGCAUUCCUACAACAACACAACGCGAACCCACACAUCGUGCACAAUACACACGCCACACCACCGAUGCCAGUUUCAUUCUGUAUCUCAGAUCGUUCAAAUGGCUAAUGGAAUUUCAAAAAUUCUUGAACCGAGGAAGACGGAAGUGGUUUCCAAACCUCUAAUUUCUAUCGUCGAACGUAUUUCGUAAGUCACCAUGGUCUGCCUCUCUCGGGUUUCAUUGACGAGCGCUCGUGCAUUAUUUUAAUUAAACGGCUCGCGUAAACGCUAUUGUUUAAUACGUUGUGGUGACGCCACUGGAUAACUCGAUGCGGUCGUGAGAGCCCGCGCGUGCGUUUCCAAGUGCAACAAAGAGACCAUCGAGGGAAGAAGAAAGAAAAGGCGAUUAACAGAAGGGAGAAGAGAAGGACGAUCCUACGAGCAGCUAAGAGAGAGAAGGUUACGACUCACAGGCACGGAUUUAGGCGUGGGAUGGUGAAGUAAUAUAAGGAUGAGGACCCUUUCGCUCUCGAUGCACGCCAAAGUACUGUAGUUCCCUGUUUGCCACCACGCUGCACAACGUACUAGCAAUUUUUACGCACGAUUAUAAUAUAUUACCCUUACGUGUCAUUUCGAAUCGUAUUUAACAAUUUAAACACCGACACGUUACAUUUUAAAUUUUACUUACUAAUUAAAAAUUUUGUUCGUUCGUCACAUGUAUGUUAGAAUUAGUGGCAAUCGCAUUUUUAGAUGUAAUAACAUGUAAAAUAUUUUGUAAUGCAUUUGUAGGUAUUUUGGUAAUUCUUUCUUUCUACGUCAAUUUCAUAAAAUUUCUAGAAAAAGCGACAUCUUGAAAUUAAAAACGCAAGAAAAAAGUUUUCGUAGUCUUAAAUUCUUUACAACCUAGAUUUGGAAUUUGUUUGAAAUUUAUUUUAAAUUUGAUCGAAAGUAUAAAAUAAAAUAUAUACAUAAGUAAAGUAUAUAAUAACGUAAUUGUAGAUAGGUCAAUUUUGACUGUGUAUUUUCUAUUUAAUAACGAUGAAAACUAAAUUAUGACGAAAUUCGAUUAAUUUAUCGAGUUGAUUCGCUGGUAACGUCUUAUACUCGAUU